ensembl:processed_transcript
GCAAGACUUCGACAUCUGGGGGCGACGCGUCAAACUCACGCGGUGCUGAAAGCGGCGGCGUUCGCUACAAUAUGAGCUGUUUUGAGCCUCUGAUCUGAUGAACGUGCGUGAGGGGACUGUUAAUGUGCCUUUAAAAAUACGGAACCAUUAGGCGAUGUGUGUGAACCAGAGGAAAGAGCCUCAGGUGAAUAGAGGAUUUGUCAGAGAGGCGUGUGAGCGUGUCUGCUUAAAGCAGUCCUCAGGGUCUUUCCUCUAAGAGUGCCCUCAACAGUCAACAACGUCGAAAGUCGCCUACUUUAAGCGAAAAUAUGCGGAAGAGGAGGAUGUUCAGGGAAGCCUACAUGGAUAUUUACAAAAACACCUGAUCCUGCGUGAGGAGCGCAGCUGCAUCCUCCGUCUGUCCCUGCAGAAGCUGCGUUUCCUAGACGACCCCGAGGCGUACCUGCGCCGCUCCGUCCUGAUCAACAACCUGCUCCGCAAGAUCCACCUGGAUGAGGCCCAGAGGGAGAAAGACAAACGGGAGGAGGAGGAGAUCGAAAGGAGGCGCAAGAGACUCAAGCUGGUGCUCCAGGAGUAUAAGCUGCUGCCGUAUUCGUCCUCACCAGCCGCAUGCAUCUGUGGCCUGGGGAGCUGCCACACCCUGCCUCCUGAUCAUGGAGUGCUACUCUAUCAUUUGGAUGAGAAAGGAUAGGACGUCAUCAGGAGCAUCCAAAGGGGAUUUCUAACAGCCCGUGAGGGAUUUCCAGGAGCCGUGCGGCAAAAGGAGAUCAGUGUUUGUGGAAUUGUGCAUGGUGAAGUCUGCUGGUGAGCCUGAGCUUUGCGGUUUCUGACAGACAGGUGUUUGUCCAUAUAUCAGGGUGCAUUUUUUCCAGCUGGAAAAAAGAGAACGUCGUCUUG